rnacentral:rRNA from 1 species
GAUGAACGCUAGCGGGAGGCCUAACACAUGCAAGCCGAGCGGUAUUUGUUCUUCGGAACAGAGAGAGCGGCGCACGGGUGCGGAACACGUGUGCAACCUGCCUUUAUCUGGGGGAUAGCCUUUCGAAAGGAAGAUUAAUACCCCAUAAUAUAUUGAGUGGCAUCACUUGAUAUUGAAAACUCCGGUGGAUAGAGAUGGGCACGCGCAAGAUUAGAUAGUUGGUGAGGUAACGGCUCACCAAGUCAAUGAUCUUUAGGGGGCCUGAGAGGGUGAUCCCCCACACUGGUACUGAGACACGGACCAGACUCCUACGGGAGGCAGCAGUGAGGAAUAUUGGACAAUGGGUUAGCGCCUGAUCCAGCCAGCCCGCGUGAAGGACGACGGCCCUAUGGGUUGUAAACUUCUUUUGUAUAGGGAUAAACCUACUCUCGUGAGAGUAGCUGAAGGUACUAUACGAAUAAGCACCGGCUAACUCCGUG